rnacentral:pre_miRNA from 1 species
UUAGUACUCCCUCCGUCUCAAAAUUCUUGUCUUAGUUUUGUCUAGGAAUGGAUGUAUCUAAAUACUAAAAUUUGACUAGAUACAUUCAUAUCUAGAUAAAUAUAAGACAAGAAUUUUGGAACGGAGGGAGUAUAAG